rnacentral:rRNA from 1 species
GUGGGGAAUCUUGCACAAUGGGGGAAACCCUGAUGCAGCGACGCCGCGUGAGCGAUGAAGCCCUUCGGGGUGUAAAGCUCUUUCGGCGGGGAAGAACCAUGACGGUACCCGCAGAAGCAGCUGCGGCUAACUACGUGCCAGCAGCCGCGGUAAUACGUAGGCAGCAAGCGUUGUUCGGAGUUACUGGGCGUAAAGGGUGUGUAGGCGGUCCUCCAAGUCUGGUGUGAAAUCUCCCGGCUCAACCGGGAGGGUGCGCCGGAAACUGGGGGGCUUUGAGUGCGGGAGAGGAGAGUGGAAUUCCUGGUGUAGCGGUGAAAUGCGUAGAUAUCAGGAGGAACACCGGCGGUGUAGGCGGCUCUCUGGACCGUAACUGACGCUGAGACACGAAAGCGUGGGGAGCAAACAGGAUUAGAAACCCGAGUAGUCC